GAGGGUAUAGCUCAAGUGGCAGAGCACAUGCUUAGCAUGCACAGGAUCCUGGGUUCAAUCCCCAGUACCUCCU
rnacentral:tRNA from 1 species